rnacentral:rRNA from 1 species
UACGGAGGGUGCAAGCGUUAUCCGGAUUUACUGGGUUUAAAGGGUGCGUAGGUGGGCAGGAAAGUCAGUGGCGAAAUCUUUGGGCUUAACCCGAAAACUGCCAUUGAUACUAUCUGUCUUGAAUAUUGUGGAGGUUUGCGGAAUAUGUCAUGUAGCGGUGAAAUGCUUAGAUAUGACAUAGAACACCUAUUGCGAAGGCAGCAAACUACGCAUAUAUUGACGCUGAGGCACGAAAGCGUGGGGAUCAAACAGG